AUCGCAACGUUUGAGUUUCUACGUUUCUCGAGUUAAUGGAAUUUGUCUCCAUUGAUUUACCACUUUGCGUUUGCUGACUCUGACCGCAUCGUUUGCUUUCGAUCAUCGAUCAUCGCCAAUGACAAACAUGCUUACAACACUUGGUUACCAUUUCACGUUGAUAGAGAGUUGUAAUCAGUCUCGAGCAAGCAGACAUUACAGCUUGAAGAUCGUGUGUCGAGGUGAAAACGGAAGUUUCAAGCGAUAACGCGUUACUUAAUGCGUCAGCAAGUGAUUAAGGUCAAUAAUUCAAUGUAGCCUGAAGAGAUACACAAGCAGCGCGCUCAUCCUAUCCUACAGAAAACACUGAAAACAUGGGAAAUAUUCCUUUUAAUGCACGAGAAGCUGAACAUUUUUAGACAAGUUUACGAUUUAUUUCUGUAAUUGUGUCACAGUCGAAAUGAACGACAAGGGGACUUUUAUCGGGUCCUCGCACCAUAACUUCGAGUGCAACCAGCUGAAGUUUCUUUCUGCUUUAAUUUAUCGACGACACAUGAGCUGGAAAAAAUACCCGGCUUAUACGUAUCAAGUUAGUAUAACGUAUCUCUGAUCUGAAUACGUACGUGUUGCUCGCGCGGAAAUAGAAACGGAUAUGCGGCUGGUGCGCGCCCUAUUUUUGGGAAUCGAUCCCGUGAACCCUGCCUACCGAGCAGGAAUUCCUGAUUCCCUUUUGUCACGAGACUAAUCGUUUGUUGCUUCCUACCGUGUAGUCGCUUAUUUUUCGUUCGAACGCUCUGAACGAAAGCGGAGAUGCUGUUUGUCAUCCCUGUCAACGGUACACAGAGGGCUGUUUGUACGAUUUUUAUGGUUUCAUUGGCUGGCCAGAUUUCAUCCAUUUAAUGAAACCACUGAUAGAGAUAACCAUAAGAGAAACUGAUUGUAGUUGUAUCUGAUUUAGGAAGACGUAAAUUCAGAUAAGAAUUAAUAUAAAAGUUUCUUGCAAUAAUUAACAGAAAUUAUGAUGAAAUUUUCGGAUCAUGUGUCCAGUAUUGAUUAAAAUAAAUGAUAAGGUCUUAACUAGAUUACAAACAAAAGGGAUAAUUGCAGUCAUAAUUUUAUGAUUUACUAUGUGUAGACUAUAAUUUUCUAGAUUAAUAUUUAUGAAAAAUUGGAAGAAAUUUUGAUUUAGUUACAAAUGAAUCAUUAAUGAUUAAAGGAUUAUUAAUUGCUUUUCACUCAAUGACCUCUGCCAUAAAAGAGUCUAUUAAUAGAUUUCAUAAAUUUUGAUCACUUUUUUUUCUUGUUAUCUCUUUGUAAUAUAUUUACUUUUUAUUAAAUUGUUACCCUUCACUAUUGGCGCAAUUGAGAAGAGGCCAGGGUGAGGACCCCUUCCCCAAAUGUGGAUUAGUCUCCUUACUGUUGCAAGGUUCUAAGACUCUGAAUUUCAAAAAUUCUAAGAUUCUAAAAUUAAAACAUUCGAAAUUUGUAAUAUUCGCUCGUAAGACGUAAGACAAACACUUGACACUUAAUAAAGCUAAGAAACUUUUCCCACCCUAGAAGAAAAUACUAAUUACGCCAAUACCCAUCAUUUACAACGCUUCUUUGCAACAAAUAAAAAAUAAAACUGGGCUUUCUUAAUUUAAACAUAGCUACUAACGAUAAGUGUAGAACGGAAAAAAGUUACAAUCUGGUUACAAAGAAAUGUUUUUGUGACAAAGAAACGACGAAGAAUGAACUUUUUCUAAUUCGUGUAGAAAAGUGCAGUACAGAAUGUAAAAUUUAAUUUCAACGACACAAAUAAAUAGAUGAUUAAAGUUUCAUACAGCGUUUUUGUGAGAUGGAACUUUUAAUUUGCUUUGUUUUACGUUACUCGUAGGUGUAUUUUUUUUUAUUCUGUUGCUGGUUGAUAGUCAAAACUGUCCCCAUGUUUAUUAAGGGUUUUUAAAUUUAUUUUUAUGAAUACUAUAUUCUUUAAGUUUGGUCACAACACUUUAAAAAUAAGUUUGAACUCAUUAUUGUACUCCACUUUUUGUUUGUUUGUUAUAUAAAUGAAAUAUCAUUCUAGGAUCAUAGGUUUUUCAUUUUACAUUACAAAAAUUACUAACGUGGGAUUGAUUAAAGGAUAUGAGUCU